rnacentral:rRNA from 1 species
AUAAGUAGGGUGCGAGCGUUGUCCGGAAUUACUGGGCGUAAAGAGCUCGUAGGUGGUUUGUCGCGUCGUCUGUGAAAUUCCGGGGCUUAACUCCGGGCGUGCAGGCGAUACGGGCAUAACUUGAGUACUGUAGGGGAGACUGGAAUUCCUGGUGUAGCGGUGAAAUGCGCAGAUAUCAGGAGGAACACCGGUGGCGAAGGCGGGUCUCUGGGCAGUAACUGACGCUGAGGAGCGAAAGCAUGGGUAGCGAACAGGAUUAGAUACCCUGGUAGUCCAUGCCGUAAACGGUGGGCGCUAGGUGUAGGGGUCUUCCACGACUUCUGUGCCGUAGCUAACGCAUUAAGCGCCCCGCCUGGGGAGUACGGCCGCAAGGCUAAAACUCAAAUGAAUUGACGGGG